AACGCACAACUCCGUCCCUCGGCGUGUUGUCUUUGCCUGCCGACUCGGUGUGCUCAGCCGGGAGGAGCAAGCACCGUUACAGCUUCCGGCAAGAAGGGCGCUAACACCACCCCUGCCCACACGCCACUCCGAGUCUAGCGCGCAGGUCAAUGGAAAUUAAAUUGCGCAAGACGGCGGGAGCUCAAUCAAGAUGAGAGCCACAUCCAUCUUCAUUGCGAGGCCGCUGCGCAGUGCUCCAAGCCCAAAGUCCCAACAUCGCUCCAGUGCCGAUAAACAUCAGGGAAAUGGAGCUCCGCGUGGGGACUCGGCCAGGAAGAAGGAUUGCCAUCGAUUCCCGCUGCUCCCUAAAGACGUCGCGGGCACAGUCUGCCUGCAGAUUGAUUGAUCACAAAAGGUCUACUCGUCAUGUAGCCUUAAUUACCUCUGAUUUUAAUAAUAAUAAUAAUACGGCUUGUAAGUAUAUAUGUAUGUUGAACUUCUUUCGCACCGAACGUAGCUAACCGUGCUAAUCGAAGGUGCGGGCUUCACGCUCCCAAGGACUCACAUGUGCCUGUCGAGUGCCGGGUUCAAUGCGGUCGCACAGCGUGAGCUGGAAUUUCAAAACAUUUGCAGAAAAAAAAA